rnacentral:rRNA from 1 species
CUAAUACAUGCAAGUCGAGCGAUGAGGUCCUUCGGGAGUACAUCAGCGGCGAACGGGUGAGUAACACGUGGGUGACUUGCCCCNGAAGAUGGGGAUAGGCUCUGGAAACGGGGGCUAAUACCCAAUGUGCUCGGUGAUUCGGUUCAUCGAGUAAAGCUCCGGCGCUUCGGGAGAGGCCUGCGGCCCAUCAGCUAGUUGGUAGGGUAACGGCCUACCAAUGCAGAGACGGGUAGGGGGCGUGAGAGCGCGGACCCCCACACUGGCACUGAGAUACGGGCCAGACUCCUACGGGAGGCAGCAGUAAGGGAUAUUGCGCAAUGGACGAAAGUCAGACGCAGCGACGCCGCGUGGGCGAUGAAGGCCUUCGGGUUGUAAAGCCCUUUUAUGGGGGAAGAGAAAAAGGACGGUACCCCAGGAAUAAGUCCCGGCUAACUACGUGCCAGCAGCCGCGGUAAAACGUAGGGGACAAGCGUUAUCCGGAUUCACUGGGCGUAAAGAGCGUUGAGGCGGUUCCGUAAGUUGGGCGUGAAAGCUCCGGGCUUAACUCGGAGAUGUCGUUCAAUACUGCGGGGCUUGAGGACAGCAGAGGAAGGUGGAAUUCCCGGUGUAGUGGUGAAAUGCGUAGAUAUCGGGAGGAACACCCGUGGCGAAGGCGGCCUUCUGGGCUGUUCCUGACGCUGAAGGCGAAAGCUAGGGGAGCGAACGGGAUUAGAUACCCCGGUAGUCCUAGCUGUAAACGAUGGAUGCUGGGUGUGGGGGG